rnacentral:lncRNA from 1 species
CUCCAGGUCAAAUAUGGCUGGUGACCAUUCCGCAGAGUCCAUGGUAUGAGUGAAGUUCACAGCUAGAAGCUGACAGAAGAGCUUCUAGUAUUGUAACUUUUCACCUGUUAGAAAGUAUCCAGAUGUAGAACUCUCAUCUCCCUCUGUGCCAUGCCUGCCUGGAUGCUGCCAUGCUUCCUGUCUUGAUGAUAAUGGACUGAAUCUCAGAACAUCUAACUCAUGUCUCUGCCACCACAGCAGUCCACACCACUCCGGUCAUGAUGCCCUCCCUUCCAGGACAAUCUCCGCCCUCGAACCAUGAGCCAAAAUAAACCCUCC